GACGAACGCUGGCGGCGUGCUUAACACAUGCAAGUCGAACGGAAAGGCCCUGCUUUUGUGGGGUGCUCGAGUGGCGAACGGGUGAGUAACACGUGAGUAACCUGCCCUUGACUUUGGGAUAACUUCAGGAAACUGGGGCUAAUACCGGAUAGGAGCUCCUGCUGCAUGGUGGGGGUUGGAAAGUUUCGGCGGUUGGGGAUGGACUUGCGGCUUAUCAGCUUGUUGGUGGGGUAGUGGCUUACCAAGGCUUUGACGGGUAGCCGGCCUGAGAGGGUGACCGGCCACAUUGGGACUGGGAUACGGCCCAGACUCCUACGGGAGGCAGCAGUGGGGAAUAUUGCACAAUGGGCGGAAGCCUGAUGCAGCAACGCCGCGUGCGGGAGGACGGCCUUCGGGUUGUAAACCGCUUUCGCCUGUGACGAAGCGUGAGUGACGGUAAUGGGUAAAGAAGCACCGGCUAACUACGU
rnacentral:rRNA from 1 species